UAAUCUCAUACGCGAGAUCAUAAUACGGAAGAAAUAUCCUAUCAAUGUAUUGAAAUUUUGGCGGCAUAACGACACAAAAGUCGAAUCCAUAGAUUUAAUCCAAUUUAACGCAAUGGAAUCAAAUAGAAACAAUAGUAUUAUAUUUAAAAUAUUUGUAACAUAUGAGGGUGUCAUGACUAACAAGCCUAAUGCACAUAAUAAAACCCAAUAUUUAUCCUAAAUUCAAUUUUCUAAUAAUAAUAAUAAUAAAUAAACAAAA
rnacentral:lncRNA from 1 species